GAGAAAGCAUUAGCUGCAGAAAGUCUUCAGUCAAACAAAGUUGAACAGGUGGGAGGUACAAAGAGGACGCCUUGAGGUGUUAUUAGUGGCCAUUUGCCCACCACCGGGUACUUUUCUCCAGGGCCACAGCAAGUUGCCCUGGCUCCUUUAGCGGUUGCGUUGGUCGUUCAGCCUGCGUGUGGAGCCCAGCCUUCUAUUAGGCAGUGUAUUAGGCAAUAAGGGUACAAAAUGGAGUAAGACAUUGUUCCUACAGUCCAGCCCUAGACCAGCAUUUCUCAGGGGCCACCAUCAUCAUGAGGGACCUACUGGAAAGGCAGACUCCUGGAUUCCACCCUGGCCCAAACAAAUCUGACUCUUUGGAGGUAAUUCUUAUUAUGCAUACUCUAAUUAUAUAUUUGUUUGACAAACCAAUUGUUUUUUAAACAAAGAUCCCUAUAGAGCACGGUGAACACGGGAACACAGCAUAGAGCAAAGUUGCUUGGAAAAGUCAGGCAGCUUAAAGCUAGGGCUUAAAUGUUGCUGAAGCAUUUGGCUGGCAUGGGAAGGUGUGUCAGUUAGCAAUCUACUGCUUGUCUGCUCCAAAUUCACCCUUUACUACAUGCUCGUCAAUAAUGGAUAGUUCCUUUAAGCGUUUUGCCUCUCCAGUGAGCAUAAUGCAGAGCUUUCUCAGUAGAGGGCUCUGGAGGGACACUGCAGGAGAAAAGGGUCUCCUGCUGUAUCUGGCUGCUGCAUGGCAGGGUCAGCAUGUGGCUGUGGGGAUACCAGUGAUGACUCCAGUCAUGAGUCAGAAAGGGUGGUCCUUCUGCAACCUUAUGGCUCUGGCAUGGUCUAGUGUCACCUUCCCCCAACUCUUUCAACACAGACACCAUGCACUCUCGGCCUCUGGCACACCCCUGCACUUGUUUGUUACAUACAGUCCUCCCAAUGACAUGGCCCUCGUGAUGAGGACACUAUAUGCUCCCCAUCUCCUGCUGUACUGAUACCCCAUUUCCUCUGGGAAAUGCCCAGCCAGCAACAGCAACUUGCCACCAGGAGGGUUGCCACCAGGGUGCCCAUGCCCCCACAUCCUGUGUGUCUAUGCAACUGGCUACUUCUGGCUGUGGCUUUCCUACAUGGGUCCUGUGCUCCUGAAGAGGACUUCCUGCGGCCAAGCAACUGCAGACCAGCCGUCCUGGGCAAGCCAGAGGGCUGCUCUGCCGUUCAGUGAGCUGCAACUAUGCAUUCAGAGAGUCUGAACCCCAGCCUUGGGGAGGGCCCCUUCCCAUCAGUCCUGCUUUGGGCACAAUACCUCAGCCCUCGGUGCCACACGGUUUUCUACAGGUGCUCCCCAUCACAGUUUAACGACUGCUUAUGAUGAACUUUCCCUGUUCACAAGGAGCAGCAUGCACAAAAGCCUCAGUAAAACGUCACCCAAUUCAUUAAUGUUUGUUUUGAAUUUACUAAUAUUGGAGUUUGGUUUUAAUUUAUAAACAUGUUUUAUUUACAACUACAUGCUUAAGGAAUUUGUGUUAAUUUGCACAUAUUUCUGUUGUUUGUACAUAUUUAAACCCUAUCAUUGCAAAAAUAAUCUAAAUCAAUGUCGCGUUGGGAGGGAUGGGGGGCAUAGAGCAUAUCCUUCCUUUAAAACAGUGGUUCUCAGUCUUUGCUACUUUCAGAACUACUCAGGGAGUUCUAAACACCUCCAAUGCCAAGGCUGCAACUCUUUUCAGUGAAAUCUCUGGGACUGCAACUCAGACAUGAGCAGUUCUUAAAGCUUCCAGAUUGACUCCAAUGUUCAAUCAAGGUUGAGCACACUGCUUUUAAAGGUCAGUAUAUAUCAAGUUUGGGAAAUCGUUAUUAUUCAUUAUCUUAGAUGAUACACUCCAGGAAUAUUUCCAUGUUAAAAGGUGCAGAGACAUUAAGAUAUCUGCAUUUAAAUAUCCUUAUAAGGUAUAGACAAGCCCUGUGAGUGAUAGCUUAGUGCUAUAACCAUCACACUGCUGCCCACAUCUUGGGGGUAAAAUAAAUAAAUAAAAACCGGGUAUGUAUGGUCGCCCAUCUGUUAUUAUACUUUCUUAAUCUAAAGCACAAUGAAAUAUUUAAAUUAUCUUCAGAUACUAAACUUUAGCAAAGUAGGGAAACAUAGCU